UUUAAUGUAUAUUGUAUUGUAUGUAGUAAUAUAUGGAUAUGUUGAAUGUCAAUUAUUUCCUUUAUAAAUUAAUUGAAAUAAUUUACUUAUUGGUAAAGAUUGUCCAGAAAUUGAAUUUCCCGCCACUUUGUUAUUAAUUAUUCCGUGUGGAUAAACGUUUUGGUUUAGCUGAUAGGCGUUAUGCAUUUAGCCUUUUAUAUUAAACAUUGUAGUUAGUAUACGCUGCCAGUACAUGUUAGUAAAUAUUGUUUAUUUUAUUAUUGUAGCAUUUAUAUGCGCUGUAAUAUUGUACGGGUUGUCUCCCCGGGAGUCGAGCCCUCUUCGUCAAAUGAAGAGGGUGUUUUAUGGACUAAUAAAUUAUGAAUUGGAA